rnacentral:rRNA from 1 species
UACGGAGGGUGCGAGCGUUUGUCCGGAAUCACUGGGCGUAAAGGGCGCGUAGGCGCCCUGGCAGUCGGUGGUGAAAGCCCGUGGCUCAACUGCGGGUCGCCACCGAUACUCCAGGGCUCGAGUUUUGGUAGAGGCAGAUGGAAUUCCGGGUGUAGCGGUGGAAUGCGUAGAGAUCCGGAAGAACACCGGUGGCGAAGGCGGUCUGGCU